rnacentral:rRNA from 1 species
UACAGAGGUCUCAACCGUUGUUCGGAUUCAUUGGGCGUAAAGGGUGCGUAGGCGGUCGGGUAAGUCGGAUGUGAAAUCCCAGGGCUCAACCCUGGAACUGCAUUCGAUACUGCCGUGCUUGAGGACUGGAGAGGAGACUGGAAUUUACGGUGUAGCGGUGAAAUGCGUAGAUAUCGUAAGGAAGACCAGUGGCGAAGGCGGGUCUCUGGACAGUUCCUGACGCUGAGGCACGAAGGCCAGGGGAGCAAACGGG